GACAGAGGGUGCAAACGUUGUUCGGAAUCACUGGGCGUAAAGCGCGUGUAGGCGGCACGGCAUGUCGGAUGUGAAAUCCCAUGGCUCAACCAUGGAAGUGCACCCGAAACUGCCGAGCUCGAGUCUCGGAGAGGAAGGUGGAAUGCUUGGUGUAGAGGUGAAAUUCGUAGAUAUCAAGCGGAACACCGGUGGCGAAGGCGGCCUUCUGGACGAUGACUGACGCUGAGACGCGAAAGCGUGGGGAGCAAACAGG
rnacentral:rRNA from 1 species